AGACCCGAAACCCGGUGAUCUAGCCAUGGGCAGGUUGAAGGUUGGGUAACACUAACUGGAGGACCGAACCGACUAAUGUUGAAAAAUUAGCGGAUGACCUGUGGCUGGGGGUGAAAGGCCAAUCAAACCGGGAGAUAGCUGGUUCUCCCCGAAAGCUAUUUAGGUAGCGCCUCGUGAACUCAUCUCCGGGGGUAGAGCACUGUUUCGGCUAGGGGGCCAUCCCGGCUUACCAACCCGAUGCAAACUGCGAAUACCGGAGAAUGUUAUCACGGGAGACACACGGCGGGUGCUAACGUCCGUCGUGAAGAGGGAAACAACCCAGACCGCCAGCUAAGGUCCCAAAGUCAUGGUUAAGUGGGAAACGAUGUGGGAAGGCCCAGACAGCCAGGAUGUUGGCUUAGAAGCAGCCAUCAUUUAAAGAAAGCGUAAUAGCUCACUGGUCGAGUCGGCCUGCGCGGAAGAUGUAACGGGGCUAAACCAUGCACCGAAGCUGCGGCAGCGACACUGUGUGUUGUUGGGUAGGGGAGCGUUCUGUAAGCCUGUGAAGGUGUGUCGUGAGGCAUGCUGGAGGUAUCAGAAGUGCGAAUGCUGACAUAAGUAACGAUAAAGCGGGUGAAAAGCCCGCUCGCCGGAAGACCAAGGGUUCCUGUCCAACGUUAAUCGGGGCAGGGUGAGUCGACCCCUAAGGCGAGGCCGAAAGGCGUAGUCGAUGGGAAACGGGUUAAUAUUCCCGUACUUGGUGUUACUGCGAAGGGGGGACGGAGAAGGCUAUGUUGGCCGGGCGACGGUU
rnacentral:rRNA from 1 species